GAUGAACGCUGGCGGCGUGCCUAAUACAUGCAAGUCGAGCGAACAGACGAGGAGCUUGCUCCUCUGACGUUAGCGGCGGACGGGUGAGUAACACGUGGAUAACCUACCUAUAAGACUGGGAUAACUUCGGGAAACCGGAGCUAAUACCGGAUAAUAUAUUGAACCGCAUGGUUCAAUAGUGAAAGACGGUUUUGCUGUCACUUAUAGAUGGAUCCGCGCCGCAUUAGCUAGUUGGUAAGGUAACGGCUUACCAAGGCAACGAUGCGUAGCCGACCUGAGAGGGGGAUCGGCCACACUGGAACUGAGACACGGUCCAGACUCCUACGGGAGGCAGCAGUAGGGAAUCUUCCGCAAUGGGCGAAAGCCUGACGGAGCAACGCCGCGUGAGUGAUGAAGGUCUUCGGAUCGUAAAACUCUGUUAUUAGGGAAGAACAAAUGUGUAAGUAACUAUGCACGUCUUGACGGUACCUAACCAGAAAGCCACGGCUAACUACGUG
rnacentral:rRNA from 1 species